rnacentral:ncRNA from 1 species
AAAGCAGGUGCCGGGCAGUUCCCGGCUUAAUAGGGAAGCAAAUGAGAGGUUUGCACGGUCCCGCCGCUGUAUGAAAGGAGAAUUCUCUUCCGGGAGGAGGCUGCCGUACGGCAGUUUCGCUCCGGUCACUGUGAAUAUGGGAAGACGAAGAGAAUUUGAUGAGAUUCGAGUCAGAAGACCUGUCUGCUUUUA